GACGAACGCUGGCGGCGUGCUUAACACAUGCAAGUCGAACGGACAGGCCCUGCUUUUGUGGGUUGCUCGAGUGGCGAACGGGUGAGUAACACGUGAGUAACCUGCCCUUGACUUUGGGAUAACUUCAGGAAACUGGGGCUAAUACCGGAUAGGAGCUCCUGCUGCAUGGUGGGGGUUGGAAAGUUUCGGCGGUUGGGGAUGGACUCGCGGCUUAUCAGCUUGUUGGUGGGGUAGUGGCUUACCAAGGCUUUGACGGGUAGCCGGCCUGAGAGGGUGACCGGCCACAUUGGGACUGAGAGACGGCCCAGACUCCUACGGGAGGCAGCAGUGGGGAAUAUUGCACAAUGGGCGGAAGCCUGAUGCAGCAACGCCGCGUGCGGGAUGACGGCCUUCGGGUGGUAAACCGAUUUCGCAGGUGACGAAGCGUGAGUGACGGUAAUGGGUAAAGAAGCACCGGCUAACUACGUG
rnacentral:rRNA from 1 species